UGUAUCGGUGUGUUUGUGUGUGUGUGUUUUGGGUUUUGUCCAACUGAACACCAAGAACAGAGUGUCUCAGAACCAGAGGUGAUCCACAACUUCAUCGUCAUUCACAACCCAUUGCACAACCUCAGCUGAGCUCAUUCUGUACUGCCUGGGAUUAUCCUCCUUCGGUGACUCAGCUUCUUUGCCAAUCAGCAGCUUCAGCUUUCACACUAUGCAACUUUGUGCAAACAUUUUCCUGACACAUCCUGGAUAAGUAGCAGGGCGAUGUAACAUGUGCUACACAGGCAUUCCAUUCCCUGGCGUCCAUCAACAGCCCUUCCACAGUCUGCAUGGAUGCCCCUUGUAGUUAUGCUAGAAACAAAUUCUUGUUGGUUUUUUAAACAGUGCCUGAUGUUCUUCAAAACCACAUCCAGCCCUCCAGUCCUUGGGGUACUUGCAGGUCAUGGACAGGAAAGAGCUGUGGGAUAAAAUAAAGAACUGUGUCA
rnacentral:lncRNA from 1 species